rnacentral:rRNA from 1 species
GACGAACCGAGCGAACGUUGUUCGGAAUCACUGGGCUUAAAGGGCGCGUAGGCGGGCUGUCAAGUCCGGUGUGAAAGCCCACGGCUCAACCGUGGAAGGUCGCUGGAAACUCUUCUUCUUGAGGGCGACAGAGGGAAGUGGAAUUGCUGGUGUAGCGGUGAAAUGCGUAGAUAUCAGCAGGAACACCCAUGGCGAAGGCAGCUUCCUGGGUCGGCCCUGACGCUGAGGCGCGAAAGCGUGGGGAGCGAACGGG